rnacentral:rRNA from 1 species
GAUCUUUAUUUUUAUUUUUUAUAAUUUAAUAAGAUUGUUUAAAAUUAUAAUUUUAUUAAAAAUUUUACUGGGGUGGUAUUAAAAUUUAAAUAACUUUUAUUAUUUUUACAUAAAUUUAUGAAUAAUUGAUCUAAUAAUAUUGAUUAAAAAAUUAAGUUACCUUAGGGAUAACAGCGUAAUUUUUUUUUAGAGUUCAUAUCGACAAAAAAGAUUGC